GAUGAACGCUGGCGGCGUGCCUAAUACAUGCAAGUCGAGCGAACAGAUAAGGAGCUUGCUCCUUUGACGUUAGCGGCGGACGGGUGAGUAACACGUGGGUAACCUACCUAUAAGACUGGAAUAACUCCGGGAAACCGGGGCUAAUGCCGGAUAACAUUUAGAACCGCAUGGUUCUAAAGUGAAAGAUGGUUUUGCUAUCACUUAUAGAUGGACCCGCGCCGUAUUAGCUAGUUGGUAAGGUAACGGCUUACCAAGGCAACGAUACGUAGCCGACCUGAGAGGGUGAUCGGCCACACUGGAACUGAGACACGGUCCAGACUCCUACGGGAGGCAGCAGUAGGGAAUCUUCCGCAAUGGGCGAAAGCCUGACGGAGCAACGCCGCGUGAGUGAUGAAGGUCUUCGGAUCGUAAAACUCUGUUAUUAGGCAAGAACAAAUGUGUAAGUAACUGUGCACGUCUUGACGGUACCUAAUCAGAAAGCCACGGCUAACUACGUG
rnacentral:rRNA from 1 species